rnacentral:rRNA from 1 species
UACGGAGGGUGCGAGCGUUGUCCGGAAUCACUGGGCGUAAAGGGCGCGUAGGCGGCCUGAUAAGUAGGGGGUGAAAUCCUGCGGCUUAACCGCAGGGCUGCCUUCUAAACUGUCGGGCUAGAGCACGGUAGAGGCAGAUGGAAUUCCCGGUGUAGCGGUGGAAUGCGUAGAGAUCGGGAAGAACAUCAGUGGCGAAGGCGGUCUGCUGGGCAGUUGCUGACACUGAGGCGCGACAGCGUGGGGAGCAAACAGG